GCUGGAAGGGAUCAUGCUCAGUGAAAUAACCCACUAAAUAACUUUAAAUAGCAUCAAGGGUUUUCCUGAUAAUGCUGCUUUGUGAACCAUUUGCCUCCCAAGAAAUGCUCCUAUUUCCUUUCCUUGUAGAAUUGGAUGCAUCACCCUCCCCGCACAACAAUGUGUUCCUACUGGGAAGCUCCUCUGAAUAAUAUCCACAGUCUUUAUUGGGGUUUUACCAUGUUGGCAUGAGGAAUUAAAUCACUGGCCACAUGACUGAACAAAAAGUCAGCUUGUCUUCAAUUCCUGGUGGUCAGACAGCUUGAAGUCCCUGUUCUCUACCCCCAUGCUAAAGGUACCUAGAGGCUAAUUAGUUACUGCCUUACUAUUACAAUGACUCUCCUAUCACCCAGGAAAUCCUUAAGGUCUUUGAAGUUCAAUGCCAGGAACCCAGCACAAGGACCAGACAAAUUAUUUAUGACACCACAGUCUCCAAUCUGCAUCCCAGCCAGGAAAAAAGAGUCAAGAAGGCCUUAUCCCUUUCCUUUAAGAGCACGAUGGGCAGCUAUACAGGCUGCUCCACUUCUAUCUCAAUUGCCUCCUUGAGCUGCAAGGAGGCUGGGAAUGUAGGUCUUUACCUUGACAGCUAACAACUGAAAACAUACUAUUUUUAAGAAAGAAGGGAAGAUUGACUAUUCAAUAGGCAACCGGUUGUAUUUAAAAUAUGCAUAGAACUCACUCAAAAGAAUAGAGAAAAACACAAAAGGAAGAAAGAACUUUUUUCACUGCAGUCUCUGUGGAAGUUGAGAUGUCGAGGAACCACUAAACCACUAGUGUGGCUGUGAGCAGUUUCUAUGGCAACCAAUGCCAGUGUCCUGGACCCCAACCAUGAAAUUUGGCAGUGGCAACUAGUAGUAGAGCUGAGUGUGUCUAUAUCAGAGACAGGGUUACUGUGUGUGGUAUCUGCAGCGUCAGCAGAGAUCACCCCAGUAGACAGCAGGGAAAAGACAAUGGCAAACAUCUCAUGGAACAACUAGAAGGAAUGGGCUGCUGCCUGAGUGAAAGGCUUUGCAGCUGGGUAGGCAGAACCCAAUAAAACAGCCCCAUCACUGACAAAAAACUUCCCUCAGAGGGGUGAAGAUGGAGUCUAAGAACCAAUGAUUUGUGAUCGUUAUUAGGAUAUUUUUACUCUGAGGCCAUGUGGCCACAGAAAUCUCCAUUUUAGAAUUUUGUUCAAAUGUUCUUGAACAACAGGACUGAACAUUUUAGUGAGUGACUGGUGUCUCGACUGACCCACUUCCCUUUCUUUCAGGAACUGCUCACCCUCACACCCCAAGCGUAACGACAACCACGUCCCUUUGCUCUGACCACCGGGAUGGGUGCGGGCCUCCCCCUGGGAGAGGGCAUUCUCUCCCGUGAACUGGAUUCUUGUGUACAGACCCGCAGGCGCUGACUGUGCGUGCAGCCCAGCCCUAAGGGCAGCCCCUCAAAGCCUCAACUCACAGGCGAUUGGCAGUGCCGGGCCUUCUGCCACCCUGGAGUCUGCUUCUUCAGCUCUUCCUUUGGUUGUGUGUGUUCUCCAGUAUGUAUCUGAAUUUUUAUUUUUUUCCUAUUGCUGCUGUGGAAUCACCACAAACUUAAAGAACCGACAUGGAUGCUCUUGCUGUUUGGGGGUCAUCCAUGUGACGUAAACCUCAUUAGCGUGUCCAUUGGGUCGCUUUUCCUUUUGGAGGCUCUUGGGGAUCAUCCAUUUCCUAACUCAUUUGGGUUGUUGCCAGAAUUCAGUUCUCUGAGGGUAUAGGACUGAAAUCUGUGUUUCCUCUGCUGUUAACUAAGGCCAAUUCCCAGUGCCCAGGGAUCACCCAUGUUUCUUAUGACUUGGCCAUUUCUUACUUCUUACUUCGGUAUUUGCUUAAUGGUAAAAAGAUUUAUAUUUGGAAUUAGCCCAUGGGAUUCCAUUUCGAAGAUCCCUGUUUUGUUGGCAGCAUCCGAAGCGUUAUAGGAGCCAGUUGUACACAUACCUUCAUCUCUCCAUCAGGUCUGAUCAGACCAUUGACCUGGCCAGUCAAUGUCAUAGAGUUUCCUCACAGCUGGUGAGAUCUGGUGCUUGUUGGAUGUUGGGCGUCAUCUGCAAAGAACAGAUCUGCUCAUGUCUUCACUCUUCUUCAUGGCUGACUCAGUCGUCAGGGGAGCUUGACAAAACAGUGGUCAAGACUGUUUUCUCUGGGGGUGCUUUUGUGAGAUAUUUGGCUGCCUUAGGAACUGGAGUGCCCAUUGGAAGAAAGCUAACCUUAAGAAAAAUCACCUGCUUUAAGAGAAACCAACUUAACGUGAUAGUCACCUUUGGAGGCCUGAUUCUUGGGGUCCAGUGUUCUUGUGAAGUGUCUUCAGAUGACUCUCAAGCUGGCAAUGCUGCCUCUCAGCAUCAAUGGUGCGUCUGUAUUAUCCCAACAAAAAUGAAUGCUGGACUUGAACUCUUGAUCCACCAUUGCAUCACUUGAUCACUGCAGCCUUGAAAAGUUGAGAUGGCACAUAUGGGGACAGGGGAUUGGCUUCCCUCAAGUGCCUAUGGGCCGGGGAGUGAAAUCAAAUGGGCCUGGAUUCUGGAAAUCUACAGGACCAGAGAACAACAACAACAUAAGUGAACUUGGCCAGAUCAUUGAAUAUAUGGUCAUUAUAUAAAAGCCAAUUGUAUAUCUAUAAACUGAAGGUGAACUUUCAGAAAAUGAAUUUUUUUGCCAUUUAAAAUAGCAACAUUUAGGGCCUCCCCGGUGGCGCAGCGGUUGAGCGCUGGGUUGCGAGGCUGCCCUCUGCCUCUGCGGCGCCGGUUCGAUUCCCGGCUGCUCCCCGGCCACCGGAGGAGGGUCCCACAUGGCGCGCAGAUCUCU